ACAUGCAAGUCGAGCGGAGACAGUGAGUAGCUUGCUACGAACUGUUUUAGCGGCGGACGGGUGAGUAACGCGUGAGCAACCUUUCCCAGACAGGGGAAUAACACACCGAAAGGUGUACUAAUACCGCAUAAGACCACGGUUUCACAUGGAACUGAGGUAAAAGAUUUAUCGGUUUGGGGUGGGCUCGCGUCCGAUUAGGUUGUUGGUGAGGUAACGGCCCACCUAGUCUUCGAUGGAUAGGGGUUCUGAGAGGAAAGUCCCCACAUUGGAACUGAGACACGGUCCAAACUCC
rnacentral:rRNA from 1 species